rnacentral:rRNA from 1 species
UGGGGAAUUUUGCACAAUGGGGGAAACCCUGAUGCAGCGACGCCGCGUGAUUUAGAAGGCCUUCGGGUUGUAAAAAUCUUUUGUAUAGGAAGAAAAUGACAGUACUAUACGAAUAAGGACCGGCUAAUUACGUGCCAGCAGCCGCGGUAAUACGUAAGGUCCGAGCGUUGUCCGGAAUCAUUGGGCGUAAAGGGUACGUAGGCGGGUAAGCAAGUUAGAAGUGAAAUCCUAUAGCUCAACUAUAGUAAGCUUUUAAAACUGCUCAUCUUGAGGUAUGGAAGGGAAAGUGGAAUUCCUAGUGUAGCGGUGCAAUGCGCAGAUAUUAGGAGGAAUACCGGUGGCGAAGGCGACUUUCUGGCCAUAACCUGACGCUGAGGUACGAAAGCGUGGGUAGCAAACAGG